AGCAGCCGCGGUAAUUCCAGCUCCAAUAGCGUAUAUUAAAGUUGUUGCAGUUAAAAAGCUCGUAGUUGAAUUUCGGGGGUUAGUAGAUUGGUCGUGCCUCCGGUAUGUACUGGUCUUACUGAUUCCUCCUUCUUGAAGAACUGUAAUGCCAUUAAUUUGGUGUUAUGGGGAAUCUGGACUGUUACUUUGAAAAAUUAGAGUGUUUAAAGCAGGCUAACGCUUGAAUACAUUAGCAUGGAAUAAUGAAAUAGGACGUUCGAUCCUAUUUUGUUGGUUUCUAGGAUUGACGUAAUGAUUAAUAGGGAUAGUUGGGGGCAUUAGUAUUCAAUUGUCAGAGGUGAAAUUCUUGGAUUUAUUGAAGACUAACUACUGCGAAAGCAUUUGCCAAGGAUGUUUUCAUUAAUCAAGAACGAAAGUUAGGGGAUCGAAGACGAUCAGAUACCGUCGUAGUCUUAACCAUAAACUAUGCCGACUAGGGAUCGGAUGAUGUUAAUUUUAUAAUGACUCAUUCGGCGCCUUA
rnacentral:rRNA from 1 species